rnacentral:rRNA from 1 species
AUUGAACGCUGGCGGCAGGCCUAACACAUGCAAGUCGAACGAGUGGCGGACGGGUGAGUAAUGUCUGGGAAACUGCCUGAUGGAGGGGGAUAACUACUGGAAACGGUAGCUAAUACCGCAUACCAUCAGAUGUGCCCAGAUGGGAGUAGCUAGGUGGUGGGGUAACGGCUCACCAAGUCGACGAUCCCGAGCUGGUCUGAGAUGAUGACCAUCCACACUGGACCUGAGACACGUUCCAGACUCGUACGGGAGGCAUCAGUGGGGAAUAUUGCACAAUGGGCGCAAGCCUGAUGCAGCCAUGCCGCGUGUAUGAAGAAGGCUAUCGGGUUGUAAAGUACUUUCAUCGGGGAGGCGUUACCCGCAGAAGAAGCACCGGCUAACUCCGUGCCAGCAGCCGCGGUAAUUC